GCUGUGGUUACUAGACCAUGGCACUAAGUGCCACAUCCAGUCUCCUUUUAAAAAUCUCCAGGGAUGGAGAAUCCACUACUUCCCUGGGCAGCCCAUUCCAAUGUCUGAUCACCCUCUCUGUAAAGAAAUUCUUUCUAAUAUCUAACCUAAACCUCCCCUGGCACAACUUGAGACCAUGCCCUCUUGCCUUGACCACAUAUUAAGGCUUUUAAGGCAGAGAUAUAAAAGUGAAAAGGCAAGGAACACAGUUUACCUCAGCUUUGUCCAACCAGGCCACACUAGUAUCACAAUGGUAAGUGAUGCUGAAGGAUAUAAAUGUUAUUAUGAGGCACUGCACCAUAGUAAGAUUCCCCAUACCCCUCUCUGCACUGCCCAGAUGCUGGCCUGGUGCCAAACAAGCACCAAACAGCCAUGCUAUGCCUCAGCAUCUCUCCUCCCACAGAAACAGGAGCAACACAGGCUCUGCUACUGCAGCCUCCCUAUCCUCCCUCUAGGUCCCAACCAUCCUUCACAGCAGCAGAACAAGACUUCCACCUGUAUGCGGUCAGCACCUACUGGAGGAAAGGGACACCAUGAAUGAAAAUUGACAGCAAAAGGGGCUGGCAGGAGGAUGGACCCCAACUGCCAUUUUAAACAACAGCCUUCAAUAUAGAGUGAAAUCCUCAACAGGCAACUGCUGUGUGUCCUCCCACUUAUCCCAAUCAUUUGGGACAUGGGAAGGGGACACACACCACACCUCUUUGUUAGUGCUUACAGACAUUUCUCCAAAAGUGUUAAUAUCAUGAGAGCUGGCAGUAUUACUGGUAUUAUGGAAGAUCAAAAUGAUAAUCAGUUGUCACCAGUUCAGAAGCACUCCAACGUGGUGAUCUUAACAGACCCCUAUGAAGCCAUGAUUCUCUUCCCAAGCUGAUUAUGCCACAUAGCCCUGCUCAGUGAAGAGCAGUACUGAGACGCAGUCUCCCAGAGUAAGACAGGCAACUACAAAGGCAUCCAAGCAUCAGUAUCACAAGCACCUCACAUUUAAACUUCAGUGCACUGAUGCAGAUCUUCAAUGCAGGUUGGUUCCACAGAUCUCAUCUUCCUGCAGAAACCAAGACCCACUCUUAAGCCCACACAGUGCAAGAAGAAGGCUAAAAGGAGCUGCUGGCUCCACCUCUAGAAGGAAUUGCUGGAGGAAUGGCACCAAAUUCCCACAUGCCUUCCUGACAUGGGAAGCUGCCUCCACAGCUGCAAAUCCAAACGGGCUCUGAGAGCCUCCAUUGCUCAGCAGCUGUACUGGCUAUUUUCUGCUGAACCAGGGCCUCAGUACUUUCAGCCAGAGAAGAGCUGCCUUGAAUUCACACACACCCAAGGGCCUGUAUAUAAACUGAACGUUGUGAACCACUAGUGGCAUUUUUCUCUGCUAUGUAUAACUAGGAAAAAUGGGAUUUUAAUGGAUUUAUUCUCAACCUACUUUAAACUCACAAAGAUAUGAGGCCUUAUGUCAUCAUUAUAGUUACUACAUGUGAUCCUGUGUGUGUUAUGAAGAAGCAAGCUAGAAAUGAGUACUGGAUGAACUCAAAAGCUUGCAACUCCUCUGCCAAAGCAAAGUCUGUCACAAGUUGCUAAAUACAUAACCACGCAAGUUAAAGAGACCCACACACCAAUAAGUCAGUAUUUCAGGGCGAUGAGACUACUGUGUACCAGCUAUGAACCAAAAGGUCUUUGCUCUGCUAUGGACUUCAUGCAUGGAUUUGGACAGCUUAGAGCCUCUCUUCGGUGUCAAUUGACGUGGCUCAACUAUAUCAGCACAAUGGAUACCUUACCAGGAAUCACAUCCUUCUUUCAAAUAGAUUAACAAUCUGUUCUGUGUAAUAUGCGUACAUUUUUCAGCAAUACAAAUAUAAAAAGUGUUAAAAUAAUUACCUACCUGUAACAAAUAUUUUAAGUAUCUUUAUUAAAGACAUUCAAUCUA